rnacentral:tRNA from 1 species
GGGGGUAUAGCUCAGUGGUAGAGCCUGUGCUCAGCAUGCACGAGGUCCUGGGUUCAAUCCCCCAGUACCUCUG